rnacentral:rRNA from 1 species
AUCAGGUGGGAUUACCCGCUGAACUUAAGCAUAUCAAUAAGCGGAGGAAAAGAAACUAACAAGGAUUCCCCUAGUAACGGCGAGUGAAGAGGGAAAAGCCCAAAUUUGUAAUCUGGCUCUUUUAGAGUCCGAGUUGUAAUUUUGAGAACUGUUUUCAGUGCUGGACCAUGUUUAAGUCUGUUGAAAAACAGCAUCAUUGAGGGUGAUAAUCCCGUUCAUGAUAUGGACUACCAGUACUUUAUGAUACAGUCUCUAAGAGUCGAGUUGUUUGGGAAUGCAGCUCAAAGUGGGUGGUAAAUUCCAUCUAAGGCUAAAUAUAGGUGAGAGACCGAUAGCAAACAAGUACCGUGAGGGAAAGAUGAAAAGAACUUUGGAAAGAGAGUUAACAGUACGUGAAAUUGCUGAAAGGGAAACAAUUGAAGUUAGCCUUGUUAUUGUCAGUUCAGCUCUUUUAGAGUGUAUUCUGAUGAUUAACGACCAACAUCAGUCUUUGAGUGCUGGAUAAGGGUUUUGGAAAUGUAGCAGUCUCGGCUGUGUUAUAGUCCAUUACUUUGAUACAGUGCUUGGGAUUGAGGAUCGCAGUAAGCCAUUUUAUGGUGGACCAAAUUUUUGGUCUUCUUACUGAGGAUGUUGGUGAAAUA